AAUAUUGGAAAAUGGGCGAAAGCCUGAUACAGCCAUGCCGCGUGUGUGAAGAAGGACAUCGGAUUGUAAAGCACUUUAAGUUGGGAGGAAUGGCAGUAAGUUAAUACCUUGCUGUUUUGACGAUACCGAAAGAAUAAGCACCGGCUAACUUCGUGCCAGCAGCCGCGGUAAUAGGAAGGGUGCAAGCGUUAAUCGGAAUUACUGGGCGUAAAGCGCGCGUAGGUGGUUUGUUAAGUUGGAAGUGAAAGCCCCGGGCUCAACCUGGGAACUGCUUUCAUAACUGCUGAGCUAGAGUACGGUAGAGGGUAGUGGAAUUUCCUGUGUAGCGGUGAAAUGCGUAGAUAUAGGAAGGAACACCAGUGGCGAAGGCGACUACCUGGACUGAUACUGACACUGAGGUGCGAAAGCGUGGGGAGCAAAC
rnacentral:rRNA from 1 species